AGUGAGGGAGCGUCUACAAAACACCUGCCUCAAAAGUGUCACAGUCACGAAUGACAGGGAAAGACCAGGAAACCCACAGGCUGGGGAAGACUUCAGAGGCAUAAGAGCAGGAUGCACUGUGGGUCCUGGGGGAGCAUGGACAUUCAUGGAUAAUGGUGAAAUCUGAAGGAAGUCUGUUGUUUAGGGACAGUAUUGUACUCACGUUAAUUUCUCGGUUUUGAUAUUGUUCUUUGGGGAUGUGAGAUAAUAACAUUAGGGGAGCUCACAUGAAGAGUUUAUGGACAAUCUCUAUUAUUUUUGCAAUUCUUUUGUGUAAAUCUAAAAUUAUUUUAAGAUAAAAAGUGUUUUUAAAAAUAUGCUUUUGUUCUACUCAGGAGGCAGAGGCAGGAGAAUCACUUGAACCCAAGAGGCGGAGAUUGCAGUGAGCCGAGAUUGCCCCAUUGCCUGGGCAACAAGAGCGAAACUCUGUCUCAAAAAAGAAAAAAAAAAAAAAAAGCUUUUGUUAAAGCAUUUACAGUCCAUCACCUUAAGUGCAAGCACAUUGCUCGUAGCAUCGCUGAGAACUCCGCAAGGAUUAAAAACCAACAAAAAAGGAUGCAAAUGGCUUACUAGAAGAGAUUUACUAGUGGCGGGGGGAUUCAGUGAAUCCACUAUCUACUCUGAAAGAAACAUGCUCCUUCCAAUCUCUCCUCUGUUGACUGAAAUCCACAGAUGUCCGAGCCAGCCCUCUGCAGUGCAGAUGCAGCCCCCAAAAGACUGGAGCCCCUGCAGUAAGGACAUUCAAGCAGUAGCCAUCAGAGAUGCUUUGAAUAAUCAACUUUCCACCAACGCAGAAGUAAAUGAACGAUAAGCAAUGUAAACACAUAAAGACAGCCAGAAAUUGAACAAAUAAUCACAAACAAUGGGAAGCGAAAUAAGAAAAAAGAAAAGUAAAGAGGACUAAAGGAUUUGGGGUUUCUUUCCGGCUAUUUUUAUGACUGUUUCUUGAAAUCUAGCUAUAUUUUUGAAAGGGGAGUGGGAGAGAAUUUACAUUGACUCCGUGUACUCCAGAUUUUUUUUUUUACUUCUCCGAUUUAACCCUGCACCACUGUGUCUCAAACGAGGAAACUGAGGCUCCAGAAGCCAAACAGCUAGAAAAUGAUAGAGUUGGACUAAAACAAAGGGCUGUUUCUUGGGCUUGGAAGUCCAUCUUCUUUCCAUCAGAUCACAUUGAGAUACCUCUCAUGGGCUAGUUGUUUGAUGAUCAAAUGAGUUUUCAUUCUUGUGUUUACAUGGGAAGUGUAUGUAAAUAAACCAGUCAUUUGGGUCCUCUGAAUUCAUUUUGAAAUCUUUAAGCCUGCUUUGCUCUGUGAUUUUGCUUCACUAUUGGCCUUUGCACUGUGAAAGCACAUGCAUUUCUUUCUAUCCAACAAGCGCAGUAAUACUUACUAAUGUGCCUGUUUUCCAGUAAGCUAUCAGUACAUUUAAAAUAAAAACCUUAAGGUCC
rnacentral:lncRNA from 10 species